rnacentral:rRNA from 1 species
GAUUUCUGGCACUGUGGGGCUGGUCCGGGCCGCAAGGUUUCGUGUAUCAGUUUCUACUUGCCAUCCUUUCCGGUUCAACGAGCAUCAUGGCGGCAACGUCUGUGGUGUUUCGUCCGGAUCUUUUACUUUGAAAAAAUUAGAGUGUUUAAAGCAGGCUUACGCUAUGAAUACAUUAGCAUGGAAUAAUAAUUUAGGACUUUUGUCCUUUUGUUGGUUUUCCAGGAUGAAAGUAAUGAUUGAUAGGGACAGUUGGGGGUGCUAGUAUUUCGUCAACAGAGGUGAAAUUCUUGGACCGACGAAAGACUAACUUAUGCGAAAGCAUU